GUUAUUAUGUACCCCACCACCACCGAGAACAUCAACUAAAAUUGGAAUGAUACAGAGAAGAUUAGCAUGGCCCUUGCACAAAGAUGACAUGCAGAUUCAUGAAGCAUUACAUAUUUUA
rnacentral:snRNA from 1 species